rnacentral:rRNA from 1 species
GAGUUUGAUCCUGGCUCAGAUUGAACGCUGGCGGCAGGCCUAACACAUGCAAGUCGAGCGGAAACGAGUUAACUGAACCUUCGGGGAACGUUAACGGCGUCGAGCGGCGGACGGGUGAGUAAUGCCUGGGAAAUUGCCCUGAUGUGGGGGAUAACCAUUGGAAACGAUGGCUAAUACCGCAUAAUAGCUUCGGCUCAAAGAGGGGGACCUUCGGGCCUCUCGCGUCAGGAUAUGCCCAGGUGGGAUUAGCUAGUUGGUGAGGUAAUGGCUCACCAAGGCGACGAUCCCUAGCUGGUCUGAGAGGAUGAUCAGCCACACUGGAACUGAGACACGGUCCAGACUCCUACGGGAGGCAGCAGUGGGGAAUAUUGCACAAUGGGCGCAAGCCUGAUGCAGCCAUGCCGCGUGUAUGAAGAAGGCCUUCGGGUUGUAAAGUACUUUCAGCAGUGAGGAAGGUGGGUAUGUUAAUAGCAUACUCAUUUGACGUUAGCUGCAGAAGAAGCACCGGCUAACUCCGUGCCAGCAGCCGCGGUAAUACGGAGGGUGCGAGCGUUAAUCGGAAUUACUGGGCGUAAAGCGCAUGCAGGUGGUUUGUUAAGUCAGAUGUGAAAGCCCGGGGCUCAACCUCGGAAUUGCAUUUGAAACUGGCAAACUAGAGUACUGUAGAGGGGGGGUAGAAUUUCAGGUGUAGCGGUGAAAAUGCNUAGAGAUCUGAAGGAAUACCGGGUGGGCGAAAGGCGGCCCCCCUGNAACAGAUACUGAUANCUCUGAUGGCNAAANCGNGNGGGANC